GCUACUAUUAGGACAAAGUGAAUUAAAGGCUUUGGAUGAUGUUACUUUCGCAGCAAAGUAAGGGAAGAAGAGAAGUCAUGAAAUCAACAUGAAGAACUUCAGUGACCUGGUGGCAGAGGUUUUCUGAGUGCAUUCUAGAGUGGGUUUUCACUUUUCUUUUCUUUUUUUAAUUUUUUGAACUGUGUAGGCUAAUAAAAAGAGGAAGCGCAAGAUGUAGGAAAAAGGAAGGGAAGGCAAAGAAGGAUUUCAAGUUUUAAACACAAAGUUAUACAUCAAAUUCGCAUAGCAUGAAUGCUACCCCUCGCCCAUUGGAUAUAUUCUGUUUGGUGAAUAUAUUGUGAACUAUGUUAUUCAAAGGAUCUGACACAUUGAAAGUUCUUAUUGACAUGUAAAAUGUGAAGUUCUUUGGUCGAUCUUGGGCCAUCUUGGUUCGAUUAAUGAAUGGACAGGGCAGCUAGUUGCACUAUUGAGGUUUUCAAAUUGAGGGGAAGAAUUGGAGAAGGGAGGGAUGCCAUGCGUCAGUCGAUUGCGAAUCAUCAUUUUCUUUGGGAAAGUGUGCCCGAGUCUCUUGCUACCCUAGUUUUACCCCAUUCCAUUAUCACCACCCAAGACCCCUUUGCCAUCCUUCACUCGUUGCCCCAAUUCACGGCUCUGGUUUUGCUCGGGUACUCAUAUGUUGGUAAACAUCUAGCAAAAUACAGCGCAGACAGCUUCCCCAAGCUUCAAAUUCUACACCGAAGAUGGAGGAUUGGG